rnacentral:rRNA from 1 species
AUUGAACGCUGGCGGCAGGCCUAACACAUGCAAGUCGAGCGGGGUUUUCGGACCUAGCGGCGGACGGGUGAGUAAUGCGUAGGAAGCUACCCGAUAGAGGGGGAUACCAGUUGGAAACGACUGUUAAUACCGCAUAAUGUCUACGGACCAAAGUGUGGGACCUUCGGGCCACAUGCUAUCGGAUGCGCCUACGUGGGAUUAGCUAGUUGGUGAGGUAAUGGCUCACCAAGGCGACGAUCCCUAGCUGGUUUGAGAGGAUGAUCAGCCACACUGGAACUGGGACACGGUCCAGACUCCUACGGGAGGCAGCAGUGGGGAAUAUUGGACAAUGGGCGCAAGCCUGAUCCAGCCAUGCCGCGUGUGUGAAGAAGGCCUUCGGGUUGUAAAGCACUUUCAGCGAGGAGGAAGGGGUGUGUGUUAAUAGUACACACCUUUGACGUUACUCGCAGAAGAAGCACCGGCUAACUCUGUGCCAGCCGCCGCAGUAACAC